UGCAGUCGAGCGGUAGAGAUCUAGCUUGCUAGAUCUUUGAGAGCGGCGAACGGGUGAGUAAUACGUUGGUAUCUGCCCCCAAGUCAGGGAUAGCCAUUGGAAACGAUGAUUAAUACCGGAUAGUCUCUUCGGAGUAAAAAUUUAUUGCUUGGGGAGGAACCUGCGGUCUAUCAGCUUGUUGGUGAGGUAAUAGCUCACCAAGGCUAUGACGGAUACCUGGUCUGAGAGGAUGAUCAGGCACAAUGGAACUGAGACACGGUCCAUACUCCUACGGGAGGCAGCAGUGAGGAAUCUUCCACAAUGGACGAAAGUCUGAUGGAGCGACACCGCGUGAAGGAUGAAGGCCUAACGGUUGUAAACUUCUUUUCUGAAGGAGCAUAAUGAGAGUACUUCAGGAAUAAGGGACGGCUAAAUACGUGCCAGCAGCCGCGGUAAUACGUAUGUCUCAAGCGUUACCCGGAAUCACUGGGUGUAAAGGGUUCGUAGGCGGCUUGAUAAGUUGGACAUGAAAGACCGGAGCUCAACUCCGUGUUUGUAUUCAAAACUGUUAAGCUAGAAUUAGGGAGAGGUAAGCGGAAUUCUAAGUGUAGGGGUGCAAUCCGUAGAUACUUAGAGGAACACCAAAAGCGAAGGCAGCUUACUGGAACUAUAUUGACGCUCAUGAACGAAAGCGUGGGGAGCGAAAAGGAUUA
rnacentral:rRNA from 1 species